rfam:Cephalotus follicularis DNA, scaffold: scaffold37, isolate: St1.
GGAUGGCAAGAAUGAUGAAUCAAUUAGAUGAGUGAAUGAAAUUCCUCAUUGUGAACUUAACCUUUGAGGCAUAUCAUUUCUGACUUGCCUUUA